rnacentral:lncRNA from 1 species
CAGACUUAACAGAAUACAACAUAGUGUAAAUAUAAGUUUUAUGUAAAUUAGGAAAUUUGCUUUAAUGCAAUAUUGGCUUUAUUGUUGUGGUCUGGAUCCAAACCCACAAUAUGUCUAAAGUAUGACCAUACUAUAGAAACAGACAAUAUUAGGGCAGACAAUAUCAAACACACUCCAGAAGUGGAAAAAUCACCCAGACAUUUUCACAUGACACAGUGACAAGCAGAAACUUAAUUUUUAAUAUAGAUGUCUCAACAUUAAGCUAUCCUUAUAUUCCAAAAUAACCCUUACGUGCUCAUGUUAUAUUAUUCUUUUAAUAUUAGACUUGGUGUUUUGUAUAUUUUGGUAACUACGCUCAAAAGUAAGAUCGAUCUUGAGCUUUCUGUCUUUAUAUAAUUGGGGUAUAAAACUUUGCUAAUUUUGCUUUCCUCUUUAUGCUCUGAAACAGUUUAUCAUGAGAUUUUCAAAUCAGAUUAUAAAUUAGAAAGGAUGUAUUUAUAAAAAUCACCUGUAUUAUCAUUCUUAAAAGCUAUCUGUGUGAUGUUAGAUAUUGUUUUUUCACUUUAAUGUUUUGUACCUAUAUUUCCUCUUUAAUUAGCUAUGAAAGAGAUUUUAUUGACAUCUAUGGAAUUUCCCUUGAAUUUAGUUGUCAGUUUUAUUGUUUCCACUUUCUAAGUCAUUAGUUUCUGCUUUAGUCCCUGGAUAUUUUUCACCUAUUGUCCCAAAAUGCACAUUUUGCCCUAAUUACCUGAGUAAAAUUCCUCUCUCAUUUGUUUUAACAGUGAAUUCACUUGAGGAAAUGUAUUUACCUUUGAAUACAGCUUUGACCAUAUCCAUUAGGUUUGCCAAAGAAGGUUCUCAUUCCCCUCAUCUACCUAUCCUGUGACUGCAAAAUUUAUGUUCUCUCUAGCCCAAAGCUUUUGUUUUCUUUUCCAUUAAUUAAACAUUUUCCCUCUAACUUCUUCUUCUUUCCUACUUUUAUUAUAUUGCGUUCCAAGAAUUUGGCUUCUGUAAUAUUUAUUUUUGGGAAAUUACAUAUGUUUUCUUUCUGGUUAAUAAUCAGUUUGUCUUUCUAUACUGAGAAUUCUUGAGAAGAAGUUUUUUUCUCUAGUCUUCUCCAAAGGGGAGGCUAUGUGGAUCACAGCAGGGAGUACAGAAUUAUCCAGUAGGGUACCAGAAGAAAAUAUUAUGACCAUAUUUAAUAUUUAUUUGUAUCUUGUCUCUCUUAAUAUAUAUUUUAUGUAUAUUUCAUAUGUCAUAUUAGCAUUACUUGUGGUUGCCAAGGGGGAGGGGGAGGCUAUGGGAUGGACUGGGAAUCUGGGAUUACUAGAUGCAAACUAUUGCAUUUGUAAUGAAUAAGCAACGAGAUCCUGCUGUAUCGCACUGGGAACUAUAUCUAGUCACUUGUGAUGGAGCAUGAUGGAGGAUAAUGUGAGAAAAAGAAUGUGUGUAUACAUAUGUGUGUGUGUGACUGGGUAACUUUUCUGUACAGUAGAAAAUUGACAGAACACUCUAAACCAACUAUAAUAGAAAAAAUAAAAAUCAUUAUAUUUU